ACACACACUUAAGUUAUUUUAAAACAGGUUUAUUUUUAUUACUUUCCCACCAGCAGGGGGACUGUGACAUUUCAGACAGUCCCCCUGCUGGCAGAUCCACAGCCAGCUAUAGGGGACCAUGUGAUUGCUCUUUGAGAGCGAUCACAUGGCCCCGGGGGCCUCAUUUGCCAAAGAAACAAAUUUGGCAGCGCAGGCAGCCCUUCAGAAGAGGAUUGCGGCGGAGGUAAGACCACCGGAGCUCCUGGGGCUGAAAGCCGUUACGGCGUUCUAUGCCACCGCAACAGCUUUAAAACCCAUUUAAUGCGGGACGGCAUAGAAUGCCAUAACGGCGUUAAGGGGUUAAUGAAUUGCAUUAUUUAUAAUACACCAGCUCUAACCAGUUUACCUCAUAUCCAUAAUCUAAUUUCAAACCUCUUGUUGUGCCUAGUCAGUGAACCCUGAUUCUCUAUGUUCUCUGAUCAAUAAGUUGCUUAAAAUAUAAAUAAAUUUAUAUAUCCUCCAAAUUUGAUCAGAUUGCUCUAAACUUGGGUUGAUUUUUUGGGGUAUAUUUUAACCCCUUAAGGACAAAAGCAAUUGUUCAGAUCAAAACAAAACCUAGAAUUUGAGCUAUAUGUCUGUUGAACCAUAAGCGCACCCACACUGAAUUUUUUCUGAUGAAAUA